CUGGCGGCAGGCCUAACACAUGCAAGUCGAGCGGUAGCACAGAGAGCUUGCUCUCGGGUGACGAGCGGCGGACGGGUGAGUAAUGUCUGGGAAACUGCCUGAUGGAGGGGGAUAACUACUGGAAACGGUAGCUAAUACCGCAUAACGUCGCAAGACCAAAGUGGGGGACCUUCGGGCCUCAUGCCAUCAGAUGUGCCCAGAUGGGAUUAGCUAGUAGGUGGGGUAAUGGCUCACCUAGGCGACGAUCCCUAGCUGGUCUGAGAGGAUGACCAGCCACACUGGAACUGAGACACGGUCCAGACUCCUACGGGAGGCAGCAGUGGGGAAUAUUGCACAAUGGGCGCAAGCCUGAUGCAGCCAUGCCGCGUGUAUGAAGAAGGCCUUCGGGUUGUAAAGUACUUUCAGCGAGGAGGAAGGCGUUAAGGUUAAUAACCUUAGCGAUUGACGUUACUCGCAGAAGAAGCACCGGCUAACUCCGUGCCAGCAGCCGCGGUAAUACGGAGGGUGCAAGCGUUAAUCGGAAUUACUGGGCGUAAAGCGCACGCAGGCGGUCUGUCAAGUCGGAUGUGAAAUCCCCGGGCUCAACCUGGGAACUGCAUUCGAAACUGGCAGGCUAGAGUCUUGUAGAGGGGGGUAGAAUUCCAGGUGUAGCGGUGAAAUGCGUAGAGAUCUGGAGGAAUACCGGUGGCGAAGGCGGCCCCCUGGACAAAGACUG
rnacentral:rRNA from 1 species